ACAGUCUGAAAAUUACCCCCGGUAUACCCGUUAUCUGGGGUAAGAUUACUGUGCCCACAGGAAGUUGGUACAUUAAGCUCAUCACCCGCUUCCAUAGUGGAGUGAUUAAACCCAUGUACCUACAGCA
ensembl:snoRNA small nucleolar RNA ACA64